UGUAAGCUCUUAGCUACUGUUCCAGCAUCAUGCCUGCCUGCUUGAUAUGUUGUUCCCCACCAUGGUGAUCUUGGACUAACCCUCUGAAACUAGAGACUCUCCAAGAUUGUUUUCUCCUGAUGUUCAUAUCUUGUACCAUGCUUCCAUGCAAUCAUGAACUGUGAUUUGAUGGGAACAACUUACUCAUGGACACCUUGCUGGAAUGUUAAAGAAGAGUGAGAUGAGAGUGCAUGGGAGCUUGGCAGACACAU
rnacentral:sRNA from 1 species